AGGCUCGUUGAAAGAUUGUGAAAAUUUCUUAGCUUGGACCUGAGGUAGCAAAUAGGAUUUCUUUAUGGCACGCGUGGUGACGUGAGGAGUUCUAUCAUCAUGGGGUGUAUGGCGUGGGGUAAUCCUAUGGACGGAAAAACGAUCAUCGUAGAAUGCCAUUUAAAUUAUGUUUUGUUUUAAGAGACUUUCCUAAAUUAUCAGUGGGACUCAGUUAUUUAAUUUUGUUUCUUUUAAACUUUGUAUAAAAAAUUAUGUUUUCUUUUAAGACUAAUGGCGCCAACUUGCAUGGUUUUAAGCAAGUCCCCACUAAGACUUUGAUAAUGAGUGGUAUUCUUUUAUAAACUAUGUUAUGCGAAUGUUUUAUAAGUAUUA